GAAAGAACCUCUUAAAGCCUCAGGACUUGGAAGGACUGGAGCCCCUGGAGACAGAGGCAAGAAUAAAGUGGAUCACAGGAGACCGAUUGAAAUCAACGUGCUAAAGGCUUACAGCUCCUAGGUAUCUUCCUUUAUCCUUGCAUAAAACU
rnacentral:lncRNA from 1 species